rnacentral:rRNA from 1 species
UGGGGAAUUUUGGACAAUGGGCGCAAGCCUGAUCCAGCCAUUCCGCGUGCAGGAUGAAGGCCCUCGGGUUGUAAACUGCUUUUGUACAGAACGAAAAGCUCUGGGUUAAUACCCUGGGGUCAUGACGGUACUGUAAGAAUAAGCACCGGCUAACUACGUG